CUCUGUUUGCUUCAGUUCCCUCAUCUGUGGCUAAUAGCAGCACCUACUUCCCAGAACUGUUGUAAGGGUAAGAGCUAACACCUGUAAAGCAUUCAGCAAAAUGCCUGGUCUCCUGCCAUUCAUUCCCAGAGAGCCAACUUUUAUAACGAAGACCAAAAAAGAGAGGGAAAAAAACCAGCAAAAUUAACCAGCACAUUGGUGCAAACAUAUGACAUCAUCAGGCUAGAUGAUCAACACAUUACAUCAAGCCCUGAUUCGGAACAUUUGCUGAUUUCCAGGCUGUAAAUGCUCAUGAUGAAAAUUUGACCAUUGGUUCUCAAGAGUCUGCAUGAGCUGGCUCUAGCACACCUCUGGACCUUGGGAACCUCAGAUAUCAUCUCAUCCAAGCCCCUCAUUUUACAGAAGAGUAAACUGAGGUCCAAAGAAAGGAAAUGAUUCACUCAAGAUCAUUUGUCAAACUUGAGUCCAUCGAAAAGCUGGAAUAAACCUAGGUCUUUUGGCUCCUAAUGUUGGGCUCUCUCCAUUAUACCAUGUAGCCUCAAAACAUGAUUUUCGAAAGAUGAACACUCUAAGUCUGUAAACACCAUGACCACAAACAACCAAAAUUUCCACCCCAUCUACAAUAUGAUUUUUGCAUGAUUUAGAAUGAACAUCCAAUGACUUUGUAUGGCUUUGUUUUAUUUUGUGUCUACUUUGUUGAUUAUUUUUCUUUUUUUGAAGUGGAAACAGCUGGCUUUGCUAAACCAUUGAGACAUUUUCUUAAGGAUUUUCCUCAACCUUCGAAAGGAGCCUCCAAUAACCACUGUUGGCAUCCCUCCCUUAGUGUUGCAAGCAUGAGUUAUGUUCAUUCAAUGAUGUCACCUAGUUCAGGAAAUCUGAUUUCUUAACUCCGAUUUGGUUCAUUACAAAAUACAUUCAUAGACGUACAUUAGGAACCACAAUCUCAUUCCCAGGGGUUGCCUUAUGGGAACUGAAUUCUCUCUUAAACCAGUUGGCUGAAUGUUAUGUAUCAAUUUGAGAAACUGAGCUUUCAUACCCUUUGAAGAUCAGUUUGGACACUCCAGUGAUCUGGCCCCAAACUUCAGUAUGUCAUAUAACAAAUACUAUGUCCCACAGUCAUUCAUAACCUACUUCCCUCUGGGGGCCUGCUUAUCCUCUCCACAUGAGUUAGUUAAUUCAGGACCUAGUUGGAUUUUCAGUGUAUUCAGGAGAUAGGGGGGAGUUAAAGGAAGUAUUUCCUAGGUUCCCUACAGACAUGUUAUAGUCUUAUGAACCUCAAGAAGUUGGAUAGAAGCUGAUCUGUUUUGCAUUUGAGGAAUGUUGCAAAUUUCCUCUUAGUGGUCAACAGUCCACUGUUUGCUAAAUUUCUCCACUUUGUCUCAUCUGGAAGAUUUCUAUUUUGCAAAAAUGCAAAAAAAGUGUUAGUGUAUGUAGCAUUUGAACUCUCUGAAGAUUCUUAUCCAAGCUUAUACACUGAUGAGUCAAGUUUCUAAGUGCAAGGCUACAU